UGGGGGAUAUUGCACAAUGGGCGAAAGCCUGAUGCAGCGACGCCGCGUGGGGGAUGAAGGCUUUCGGGUUGUAAACCUCUUUCGCUAUCGAACAAGGCCCGCUUAGGGUGGGUUGAGGGUAGGUGGAGAAGAAGCGCCGGCUAACUACGUGCCAGCAGCCGCGGUAAUACGUAGGGCGCGAGCGUUGUCCGGAAUUAUUGGGCGUAAAGGGUUUUUAGCCGGCUUGUUGGUCCUGCUGUGAAAACGCGGGGCUUAACGUCGCGCGUGCAGUGGGUACGGGCAGGCUUGAGUGUGGUAGGGGUGACUGGAAUUCCAGGUGUAGCGGUGGAAUGCGCAGAUAUCUGGAGGAACACCGAUGGCGAAGGCAGGUCACUGGGCCAUUACUGACGCUGAGGAGCGAAAGCAUGGGUAGCGAACAGG
rnacentral:rRNA from 1 species